rnacentral:rRNA from 1 species
GGCUGUUCGCCAUUUAAAGUGGUACGCGAGCUGGGUUUAGAACGUCGUGAGACAGUUCGGUCCCUAUCUGCCGUGGACGUUUGAGAUUUGAGAGGGGCUGCUCCUAGUACGAGAGGACCGGAGUGGACGAACCUCUGGUGUUCCGGUUGUCACGCCAGUGGCAUUGCCGGGUAGCUAUGUUCGGAAUAGAUAACCGCUGAAAGCAUCUAAGCGGGAAACUAGCCUCAAGAUGAGAUCUCACUGGGACCUUG